GCUUCGGGUGAUGUAGUGGUAGCAUGUGCCCCUGGUAUGAGUGAAACGAGGUUUCAAACCCCGUCUGAGGUC